UCCUCUUAUCUUUCUGAAAAAUUCUCCCUUUAGGGUGAAACUUUCUAGGCUUGAUCUCAUCCCAAAGUUGAAUGUUGUUUUGGAAAGUCUGAGG
rnacentral:pre_miRNA from 1 species